rnacentral:tRNA from 1 species
GGAGGGGUGGCCGAGUGGCUUAAGGCAACGGUCUUGAAAACCGUCGAUGGGCAACCAUCCGAGAGUUCGAAUCUCUCCUCCUCCG